AAAAAGUCAAAACCCUGGGUUUACGUGUCAACGUUUGACUGUCCGUCUUAUAUGAAAUUUUUUUAUAAUUAGUAUUUCCAUUGUUAUUAGAUGAUAAAACAUGAUUAAUACUUUAUGCGUGACUUGUCUUUUUAAUUUUUUUUAUAUUUUUUUUAAAUAAGACAGAUGGUCAAAUGUUGGACACGAAAAUCAGAGUUUGUCUUUUU
rfam:Oryza glumipatula chromosome 12, whole genome shotgun sequence.